rnacentral:lncRNA from 1 species
GGAAAAAUUAAUUAAUACCCUUACUACCUUGUUGUAAGGGUUAGGAAUAAAAGCAACUAACUCCAAUUUGGGGAAAGGAAGGUGGUCAGAGGUGUUAUAGAUGACAUGAUGUCUCAUCUUAGUGUUGGAAAAUGAAUUGAAGUUUGACACAUAUUUGGAUAGGGAAGGAAGGGACUUCUGGUAGAGGUGGCAGCCUGGGCCAUGUCAUGGACUUAGAAAGGCCAGUGGCAUGGAGGGAUGCCCUAUAGCUCAUGGUGGGCCUGUGGGAAUGCAUGUGGGAAGUCCAGUGCUGCCUGGAGCAUUUGGAUUCUUACCAGAAGAAAACUACUGGGGUCAGGUCACAUUGCUACUUUGUGAAAUCCCACAGGGCACAAAAGGGCAAGAACAUUCACAUUUCCAGGGAGUCACAUGUAAAUGGCUAUACAUUAGCCAAGAUUUUAUCUUCAAGGCACUGAGUCUCAGAGCCUCUUUCAUACCAGGUGUCAGAAUGAAAUGUCAGUGGGGUUACAUUUCUACCACUGACAUCAUUUCAAUCUUGUCAGCUUGAAUUUCUCUUUCUUUUUUUCACGUUUUUUCCUUUCUCUCUUCCUCUCUUCCAAGCUUCUACUGUCUAUAGUUACAAGAGACAGGACAUCACUCUUCGAUUAUUCUGCUGGCUGUGGUGAGAAGAGGCAGGGGUGCUCAUGGUACAGGGUACCAAGAGGGCUCUGGCUGCCUUCCUUGGUUUUGGCCCAUGAGUGGGUGCUGGGAGAGUGUUUGUUAACAAUGGGGCACCAACACACCCCCCGUUUGUACCCUGAUUUGGCUACCUGCUGCUUCCAGGGAGAUGUGGGUACCUCCCAGGACAUAGCCUGUUCUUUGUAGCUGUUUACUGGCCUUCCUGCCUCUUCACUGUAGGAAAAAAGAGGGAGGAAAAAGAGGGCCCUUGUGUUCCUGAUGGAUCAGAUUCUUCUUUUCUAGCUCACUACAGGUUUUUUUUUUUUUUUCAUUUGGAAGUGAAUAUCUCCUUCAAAUAUCAGCAAGUUGGGUGGUUGGGUAUUUAUGAAGAAUCUUAAAGCUGGGCGUGAGACUUCAGGUGGACAUGGAUACUGUCUUCAGCAUCGUCUAGUCAGGGAAACAGACAUUAGAGAAACAGUAGUUACCUAAGUGAUUAAUACCUCAAAGCAUAGUGCCAGUUGCCAUGGUAACCUACUAUAGAGGACCUAAGUAAUCAUAGACCUGGUUGGGAAAGUGCUGCACUGAAGAUGCGAGUAUUUAUACUGAGAACAGGGUGAAAAGGAGUUAGCUAGACAAAGAGUGAGGA